rnacentral:lncRNA from 1 species
AAAAGCUAAACGGCCGAAAGCAUAUAUGAAAGAAAAAGCGAUGCAAGCUUAAUUAUCUGAGUUGGAAGAUGAUCUCCUAUAACGUUUUCACCAGUGCAGCACGUUCAACCACCACACAUAAAAUUUCUUCCUCUACAAGAAGCCACAUAGAACCAAUCUUCAACCCGAGCAGCUAAAGAAGACGCGGUUGGUAAUUAACUACUCAAAGAUUGCAUGCAAUUGAGCUAUGGCUCCACAAUUCCUUACCAAGUAAUCCGGAAAACCUGUUGGUUUCAAAUCAAGGAACUACAUUACAUCUCAGCCCCGGAGUUUCACCGACUGAAGAGAACAAAACCAAGACCAGAGGACUAACAACGAGGGUAUACCAAGGAUAACCACCAUUAAGAGCUAGAAACCUCAAAGGAGACAGAGCAAAACCAACUUCCAUGGCAGAGAAACUCUACCGUAAAAAGCAGAAAAUGAUAACUCCCAACAAAACCAUCAGACCAAACACACUCCACAAAUCUCUCAAAACAAAACACCAAACCCCUAAAUCUAAAUUCGCUACACUCGCUCAAGUUGUCUCCAUGAAGAAACCUCAGACUGAAGCUCCACAAGAACGACCCACAAGCGCCGACCUUGACACAGAACCGAACUUAUAUCGAGAGGUUUUGAACUUAGAUCUAGGCUAAGACAGAACAAAGCUUAAAACCUAUGUGAAACAGAGAGUUUUCAAUACACACUGGAAGAGUCAAGAAACCAGGAGAGACACAACAGACCACCAUAGAAAUACUUUAGCUUUGCCUCACCUGAACCGAUGGAAGAAGUACCACCCCACAUCAUAGCCGGUAUAACCUGCACUGCACAGCAGAAAAAGCUUCGGAUGUAGUCAAUCAGCCUAAGCAAUCGACAGGAAGAGAUCGACAUCGAGUCCCUUAUCUCCAACUCCCCUGUUUCUUGGAAGCCUCUUCUCAGCCUACAAACGACACUAUACUAGACUAAGGACCUUCUCACAGCACGGACGAAGGUCGCCGGAUACCGGAGAAGGUAAGACCAAUGAACACUCUUUUUCUCUUGCGGUAGCUCUAGGGUUUUCUCUCAAAGGUUUUUUUUUUCUGUGACCAAGUUUUAGUGGUUUUUUAUCUUUUGAAUUGUAGUUUUAAAGACAUGGAUCAAACAAGAAAUAUCUCAAACCACAUGGAUUUUUCUUUUUCCUUAAACCACAUGAAAAUUAGUUCUAUUCAGUUCGAUUUAACUGGACCUGCCCUCCCGUAACAUUAUGGUUGUGUGAAUGAAAAACCUUACAGGUAAUAAUUAUUUGGUUAUUAAGACUAACAUAUUAUUUUUUCUCUGUAAGCUUUUCCUUGGGUUUGUCUAUUUUAAGCCUAGUCCACUUUACCUUAUAUCUUGCUUUGAAAGCCUACAAUAGAUAACAAAAUAUCUCUUGCAGCAAAAGAAAGGAUAAUCUACAUUCUC